rnacentral:rRNA from 1 species
GACGAACGCUGGCGGCGUGCUUAACACAUGCAAGUCGAACGGAAAGGCCCUGCUUGCAGGGUACUCGAGUGGCGAACGGGUGAGUAACACGUGGGUGAUCUGCCCUGCACUUCGGGAUAAGCCUGGGAAACUGGGUCUAAUACCGGAUAGGAGCCAUUUUUAUGGUGAUGGUGGGAAAGUUUUUUCGGGGUAGGAUGAGCUCGCGGCCUAUCAGCUUGUUGGUGGGGUAAUGGGCUACCAAGGCGGCGACGGGUAGGCGGCCUGAGAGGGUGGACGGCCACAUUGGGGAUGAGAUACGGCCCAGACUCCUACGGGGGGCAGCAGUGGGGAAUAUUGCACCAUGGGCGCGAGCCUGAUGCAGCGACGCCGCGGGGGGGAUGACGGCCUUCGGGUUGGAAACCCCUUUCGCUAGGGACGAAGCUUUUUGUGACGGUACCUAGAUAAGAAGCACCGGCUAACUACGUG